CGUAGGUGGCAAGCGUUGUCCGGAAUUAUUGGGCGUAAAGCGCGCGCAGGCGGAAAUUUAAGUCUAUCUUAAAAGUGCGGGGCUCAACCCCGUGAUGGGAUAGAAACUGGGUUUCUUGAGUGUCGGAGAGGACAGUGGAAUUCCCAGUGUAGCGGUGAAAUGCGUAGAUAUUGGGAGGAACACCAGUGGCGAAGGCGACUGUCUGGACGAUGUCUGACGCUGAGGCGCGAAAGCCAGGGUAGUGAACGGGAUUAGAUACCCCGGUAAUCCUGGCCGUAAACGAUGGGUACUAGGUGUUGGGGGUAUCGACCCCUCCAGUGCCGGAGCUAACGCAAUAAGUACCCCGCCUGGGGAGUACGGCCGCAAGGUUG
rnacentral:rRNA from 1 species